rnacentral:rRNA from 1 species
CCUGGUAGUCCACGCGUAACGGUGGUGCUAUUGUGGGCCACAUUCCACGUGGUCCGUGACGAAUUAACACAUAAGCACCCCGCCUGGGGAGUACGGUCGCAAGACUAAACUCAAAGGAAUUGACGGGGGCCCGCACAAGCGGCGGAGCAUGCGGAUUAAUUCGAUGCAACGCGAAGAACCUUACCAAGGCUUGACAUAUAGAGGAAACGUGCAGAAAUGUACGCCCCGCAAGGUCUCUAUACAGGUGGUGCAUGGUUGUCGUCAGCUCGUGUCGUGAGAUGUUGGGUUAAGUCCCGCAACGAGCGCAACCCUCGUCCUAUGUUGCCAGCACGUAAUGGUGGGAACUCAUGGGAGACUGCCGGGGUCAACUCGGAGGAAGGUGGGGAUGACGUCAAAUCAUCAUGCCCCUUAUGUCUUGGGCUUCACGCAUGCUACAAUGGCCAGUACAAAGGGCUGCAAUACCGUAAGGUGGAGCGAAUCCCAAAAAGCUGGUCUCAGUUCGGAUUGAGGUCUGCAACUCGACCUCAUGAAGUCGGAGUCGCUAGUAAUCGCAGAUCAGCAACGCUGCGGUGAAUACGUUCCCGGGCCUUGUACACACCGCCCGUCAAGUCACGAAAGUCGGUAACACCCGAAGCCGGUGGCCUAACCGCAAGGAAGGAGCCGUCGAAGGUGGGAUUGGUGAUUGGGACUAAGUCGUAACAAGGUAACCGUA